GGGGCAUUGUGAUGUGACAUGUGGGGGCAGCAAAUUUUUAUUUUGUCUAGGGCGGCAAAAACCCUUGCACCGGCUCUGAUCCUGGGCAGGUGCACCAGUCUACUUGACUGGUUUUGCCCCCCAGGCCUAAGGCCGUCAUAUUCCGGCGCCAGUCUCAUUCAGCAGCGCGCGAGGGCGGGAGGGCACUAACACAGGAAGCACCUCUAGUGACCGUCUGAGUGACUGUCACUAGCAGUGUCACUUUGAA